GGCCGGGCCGCCCCGCCGCACUUUGCACCUGUUCACCCAGCGCUCAUGAAAAAUGCAUCCAGCUCCGAGCCGGGGCGAAGGAGGAGGCAAAACGGGUCUGGUGGAGGCUCCUCUUAUCCUUCCACUGUACGUGAUCAGUCUCUUUAAUAAUUGUGCAAGGCAGGACUAUCCCACUGGCUCCAGCAGCGUCUCACCCGGAGAGGGUUCGGGUGGAUAAAUAAUUAAAAUCCUAUCCCACGGCUUAGCGAAGAGAAAAGAAAAUAUUGACUCGGAUCCUUCUUCUUUUCCAUACAUCAGCUGCACCCGUAUUCACCCUGCAUAGUGCAGGUGAAGGAAGGGGGAAAAAAAAAAAAAAAGAAGAAGAAAAAAAAGCCCACCCUCCUCCGCCCCGGCAGCCCUCGGCUGCCUUCUCGAAAGGCUUUCUGUCUCUGUCCUGGCGGGCUGUGCCUCUCCCUAAAGCAGCCUCGCCGCGCAGGAUGGAGGAAGCACUGAAGGGCAAACUGGUCUCUUCGCUCCCCCUUUAUUCCAGGGCUGGGCGGCUUUGCUUUAGAUAUCCCCGCUCCGGGCAUGAAGGUACUGGAAAGAAAGAAAGUUCUUACCUGCUAUUUUCUAAGCCUAAUACAUCCGAUCCGCGUUUUAAGCACAUAUUUUCUAAUUUAUAUUAAAAAAAAAAUAAUAACGGUCUGUGAGCAUUUCACUUCCUCAUGUUCAGUCCCACUGAAUUUUCAGAUGCCCUUUUAGAAUUUUCCUCUAUUUAUUUACUUAGCAAUCCCAGCAGAUGGAGGAAAAAAAUAAAAUAAAAAAAAACAACCAAAAAACAA